rnacentral:rRNA from 1 species
UACGGAGGGGGCUAGCGUUGUUCGGAAUUACUGGGCGUAAAGCGCACGUAGGCGGAUCAGUCAGUUAGAGGUGAAAGCCCAGGGCUCAACCCUGGAACUGCCUUUAAUACUGCUGGUCUGGAGUCCGAGAGAGGUGAGUGGAAUUCUCGGUGUAGCGGUGAAAUGCGUAGAUAUCGAGAGGAACACCUGCGGCGAAGGCGGGUUGCUGGGCUGAUACUGACGGCUGAGGCGCGGAAAGCCAGGGAGCGAACGGG